rnacentral:rRNA from 1 species
UACAGAGGUGGCAAGCGUUGUUCGGAAUUACUGGGCGUAAAGGGCGCGUAGGCGGCCAUCUAAGUCAGACGUGAAAUCCCCCGGCUUAACCUGGGAACUGCGUCUGAUACUGGAAGGCUUGAGUAUGGGAGAGGGAUGUAGAAUUCCAGGUGUAGCGGUGAAAUGCGUAGAUAUCUGGAGGAACACCGGUGGCGAAGGCGGCUUCCUGGACCGAUACUGACGCUGAGGCGCGAAAGCUAGGGGAGCAAACGGG